rnacentral:rRNA from 1 species
CAGCAGCCACGGUAAUACAGAGGGUGCAAGCGUUAAUCGGAAUUACUGGGCGUAAAGCGCGCGUAGGUGGUUUGUUAAGUUGGAUGUGAAAGCCCCGGGCUCAACCUGGGAACUGCAUCCAAAACUGGCAAGCUAGAGUACGGUAGAGGGUGGUGGAAUUUCCUGUGUAGCGGUGAAAUGCGUAGAUAUAGGAAGGAACACCAGUGGCGAAGGCGACCACCUGGACUGAUACUGACACUGAGGUGCGAAAGCGUGGGGAGCAAACAGGAUUAGAUACCCGGGUAGUCCCUGUCUCUUAUAC